CAGUCGCCGCGGUAAUACGAAGGGGGCUAGCGUUGCUCGGAAUCACUGGGCGUAAAGGGUGCGUAGGCGGGUUUUUAAGUCAGAGGUGAAAUCCUGGAGCUCAACUCCAGAACUGCCUUUGAUACUGAAAGUCUUGAGUAUGGGAGAGGUGAGUGGAACUGCGAGUGUAGAGGUGAAAUUCGUAGAUAUUCGCAAGAACACCAGUGGCGAAGGCGGCUCACUGGCCCAUUACUGACGCUGAGGCACGAAAGCGUGGGGAGCAAACAGGAUUAGAUACCCCUGUAGUCCCUGUCUCUUAUAC
rnacentral:rRNA from 1 species